CUAGGUAAACCACCAAUAGGGCUAUUGGCGCUAAGUGGCAGCACUUUAAAUACAGCUGCAGCAUUAGUCAUGAAAUCGCCUACCAGGGGGAAUGAGAGCAGAGGGAAGGACUCCAGCAUUGUGGGUCUUACCAAGAUUCCAUGACAGGGGGAUAACAGAAAUAAUAUCUUGCUGGGAUCUUCCCUAUCAUCUGAACUGAUGCGGAACAUACCAUCUACUUUUGAAGGAGUCUGAUGCAGGCACAAUCAUCAAAAUGUGCAUUUAACUGGCCUG